GAGCGCGCACAAGCUCGUUCACUGAUUCAAGGUGUCAGGAUGGUGUGUGAGCUGCUGCUGUCGUCGGUCUGGUUCCUGUUCGUCAUCUUCUGGCUGGAGACCAUCAAGUGUGUGGCUCUUCCUGUGUCUGUACUAUCAGGACCGGGUCUUCUAUCACUGGGGCUCCGGCACACACGGACUGUUGUUCUGUGUG